AGGUGGGAGGAAGAGAAACAAAGGAGGAAUUAAAGUGGUAAAGAAACAACUAGUUUAAUCUAAAAUUGAGGAAGAUGGCAAGCAAACACACAAAAGAAGAGCUGGGAAGCAGCCCUGCUAUCAAGAGAUGAUGAUGAUGAUGAUGAUGAUGAUAGAGGAGGAGGAGGAAGAGGCCUGGCCUAGAUUUGCAACUGAAUGAAGUGAUGGCAUCCUGAUGUGAUAGAGUGGGCAGAUAGAUUGCAAGUGGAAAGAAACUAUGUUGUUAACAAAAAUACAGUUUCAGUCAGAAGUCAAUGGAAGGAUCUGGCUGCUGGAAGACUGCUCCGUACCUCAUCCCCCUGAUGCUUCUGAUGCGGGUGAUCCUCCGACUGCACGGCGCCAACCACAACAUGCUACCCACCGUGAGAGAGCAGGACGCAGGCUGCUCUAGUCAGGAGUUAUCGUCUAUCAUACUGAUUGACGAAACCAAGAGUGAGCAGAAAAAAUAAACAUGAACAGAGGCUGCAGUGUAUGGGGCAGUCAGCUGGGAGUUCUAGUAUUUGGCCUUGGUGAUCCUACUCUCAUGGUAGGUUAUCUUUUCCUUGUGCUAUCAUUUAUCAUAACUUUGAGGGCCAGUGAAAGAAGCAAACCCUAUGAUUUUUCUAUUGGGGACAUUAAUUAAGUGCUUCUUUUUUUAGAACUACUUCCUUUGCCCCGCAAUAACAAUUCCACUACCUCAGUCUCUGUUCCCUGGAGAACAGUGAAACCCAAUCUAAGUACAGUCCGCUGCUGCUUCUCCUUUAAAAAAAGAACCCAAAAAACUUUUAUUACAGCAAUAGGCCAUUUUAGGCAAUUAACCUUUGCUAAACUGUCAAACCCGGAAUUCAUAUGCAGACAUAUCCUAUCGCAAACAUUAACUUUCCAUCACAGCAAAGAAGUUUAAAAGACAGCAACGUCCUUCAUAUUAUUUGCCAAUGGACGUUGCCUUUGUCACUAACAACUCCUCUUGAAAUAAUGGCAGUUGACUUUUGCAGGCACAAACCAAACCAUGUAUUGAUCUUGACAGCCACCAUAAAGUACUCUCUGAAGUGUCAGUAACAAAGAUGAUUUGUAUGUGGCUUGCAGUCUUCCAGUGUCUUAAUAGCUUUCUCAUUCCAACACAGAAAACGCCAAGCAUAAACCAGCUGGUUAAAGCUGAUACAAGCAUUUCUUCUCUCAGCAGGCCAUUCUUGCAUAACCAUUUAUUCUGCCGAGUUUUAAAGUGCCUGAAGGAUUUAAUUAUGUACAUAGACAACCACUAUAAACUCUAUUCUAGGUUUUUUAUUGACUUUUGUACUGGGCAGCUCUUAGGCAUUUCAAUUAAGUGUUUUUAUAAGAAAAGCUACAAUAUUGUAAACUAUAUAUAUUUUUUCUCCUUUGUAGAUCAUUCCAAACAGUUCGGAUUGAUUGAAUAAAGUUUAUUUAAUUGACAGGAUCUUUAGUAGCUUGAAAACUAGUCAUGAAGAUGUACAUAAUAAGAUACGUUUCAAUAGGCUGCCAGGAUCAUUAAAAGUAUCAGAAGAAAACAGUUUGGCUCACAUAACACCAGAGGCGUAUCUAGGGAAAAUAGUGCCUAGGGCAAGCACUGAAAUUGCGCCCCCUUUCCAAAUACCUGACACCCAUUUUUCAGAUAACUUUACCAUAAUAUCAGCUGAAAAAUACAAGGAAAGCUUGUUAAUCUUUUAAUAUUUCGAAAACUAUUUAGCAGUGGAUAUAGCCAGACCAAAAAAUGCUGCAAAACUACAAAUUUCAGUAUGAUGGGGCUCAUGAAAUACCCAAAUACUAUGUGGAGGUGUACUUGGAAAACUAAUGUCUAAUUCUUUACUAUGCAUUGCAGCAUCACUAUUACAUAAGUUUUAAAAAUAAAUGCAGAAUUUGAC